UACGUAGGUGGCAAGCGUUGUCCGGAAUUAUUGGGCGUAAAGCGCGCGCAGGCGGUUUCUUAAGCCUGAUGUGAAAUCCCCCGGCUUAACCGGGGAGGGUCAUUGGAAACUGGGAGACUGGAGUGCAGAAGAGGAGAGUGGAAUUCCAUGUGUAGCGGUGAAAUGCGUAGAUAUAUGGAGGAACACCAGUGGCGAAGGCGGCUCUCUGGUCUGUAACUGACGCUGAGGCGCAAAAGCGUGGGGAGCAAACAGG
rnacentral:rRNA from 1 species